rnacentral:rRNA from 1 species
UAGCUUGCUACCUAACCUAGCGGCGGACGGGUGAGUAAUGCUUAGGAAUCUGCCAUUUAGUGGGGGACAACAUUCCGAAAGGAAUGCUAAUACCGCAUACGUCCUACGGGAGAAAGCAGGGGAUCUUCGGACCUUGCGCUAAAUGAUGAGCCUAAGUCGGAUUAGCUAGUUGGUGGGGUAAAGGCCUACCAAGGCGACGAUCUGUAGCGGGUCUGAGAGGAUGAUCCGCCACACUGGGACUGAGACACGGCCCAGACUCCUACGGGAGGCAGCAGUGGGGAAUAUUGGACAAUGGGCGGAAGCCUGAUCCAGCCAUGCCGCGUGUGUGAAGAAGGCCUUUUGGUUGUAAAGCACUUUAAGCGAGGAGGAGGCUACUAGUACUAAUACUACUGGAUAGUGGACGUUACUCGCAGAAUAAGCACCGGCUAACUCUGUGCCAGCA